rnacentral:rRNA from 1 species
AGCGAACGCUGGCGGCAGGCUUAACACAUGCAAGUCGAGCGGGCCUUUCGGGGUCAGCGGCGGACGGGUGAGUAACGCGUGGGAACGUGCCCUCUGGUUCGGAAUAACUCAGGGAAACUUGAGCUAAUACCGGAUACGCCCUUUUGGGGAAAGGCUUGCUGCCGGAGGAUCGGCCCGCGUCUGAUUAGCUAGUUGGUGAGGUAACGGCUCACCAAGGCGACGAUCAGUAGCUGGUCUGAGAGGAUGAUCAGCCACACUGGGACUGAGACACGGCCCAGACCCCUACGGGAGGCAGCAGGGGGGAAUAUUGGACAAGGGGCGCAAGCCUGAUCCCGCCAGGCCGGGGGAGUGAUGAAGGCCUUAGGGUUGUAAAGCCCUUUUAUCCGGGACGAAAAUGACGGUACCGGGGAAAUAAGCCCCGGCUAACUUCGU